rnacentral:rRNA from 1 species
CCGGCGAUGUCCGAAUGGGGAAACCCAGUGCAAUUCGUUGCACUAUCGUUAACUGAAUACAUAGGUUAACGAGGCGAACCGGGGGAACUGAAACAUCUAAGUACCCCGAGGAAAAGAAAUCAACCGAGAUUCCCCCAGUAGCGGCGAGCGAACGGGGAGCAGCCCAGAGUCUGAAUCAGCUUGUGUGUUAGUGGAACGGUCUGGAAAGUCCGACGGUACAGGGUGAUAGUCCCGUACACCAAAAUGCACAGGUUGUGAACUCGAAGAGUAGGGCGGGACACGUGGUAUCCUGUCUGAAUAUGGGGGGACCAUCCUCCAAGGCUAAAUACUCCUGACUGACCGAUAGUGAACCAGUACCGUGAGGGAAAGGCGAAAAGAACCCCGGCGAGGGGAGUGAAAAAGAACCUGAAACCGUGUACGUACAAGCAGUGGGAGCACCUUCGGGUGUGACUGCGUACCUUUUGUAUAAUGGGUCAGCGACUUAUAUUCUGUAGCAAGGUUAACCGUAUAGGGGAGCCGCAGGGAAACCGAGUCUUAACUGGGCGUUAAGUUGCAGGGUAUAGACCCGAAACCCGGUGAUCUAGCCAUGGGCAGGUUGAAGGUUGGGUAACACUAACUGGAGGACCGAACCGACUAAUGUUGAAAAAUUAGCGGAUGACUUGUGGCUGGGGGUGAAAGGCCAAUCAAACCGGGAGAUAGCUGGUUCUCCCCGAAAGCUAUUUAGGUAGCGCCUCGUGAACUCAUCUUCGGGGGUAGAGCACUGUUUCGGCUAGGGGGUCAUCCCGACUUACCAACCCGAUGCAAACUACGAAUACCGAAGAAUGUUAUCACGGGAGACACACGGCGGGUGCUAACGUCCGUCGUGAAGAGGGAAACAACCCAGACCGCCAGCUAAGGUCCCAAAGUCAUGGUUAAGUGGGAAACGAUGUGGGAAGGCACAGACAGCCAGGAUGUUGGCUUAGAAGCAGCCAUCAUUUAAAGAAAGCGUAAUAGCUCACUGGUCGAGUCGGCCUGCGCGGAAGAUGUAACGGGGCUAAACCAUGCACCGAAGCUGCGGCAGCGACACUAUGUGUUGUUGGGUAGGGGAGCGUUCUGUAAGCCUGCGAAGGUGUGCUGUGAGGCAUGCUGGAGGUAUCAGAAGUGCGAAUGCUGACAUAAGUAACGAUAAAGCGGGUGAAAAGCCCGCUCGCCGGAAGACCAAGGGUUCCUGUCCAACGUUAAUCGGGGCAGGGUGAGUCGACCCCUAAGGCGAGGCCGAAAGGCGUAGUCGAUGGGAAACAGGUUAAUAUUCCUGUACUUGGUGUUACUGCGAAGGGGGGACGGAGAAGGCUAUGUUAGCCGGGCGACGGUUGUCCCGGUUUAAGCAUGUAGGCUGGUUAUCCAGGCAAAUCCGGAUAAUCAAGGCUGAGGUGUGAUGACGAGGCACUACGGUGCUGAAGUAACAAAUGCCCUGCUUCCAGGAAAAGCCUCUAAGCAUCAGGUAACAUCAAAUCGUACCCCAAACCGACACAGGUGGUCAGGUAGAGAAUACCAAGGCGCUUGAGAGAACUCGGGUGAAGGAACUAGGCAAAAUGGUGCCGUAACUUCGGGAGAAGGCACGCUGGUGUGUAGGUGAAGCCCCUGCGGGUGGAGCUGAGACCAGUCGAAGAUACCAGCUGGCUGCAACUGUUUAUUAAAAACACAGCACUGUGCAAACACGAAAGUGGACGUAUACGGUGUGACGCCUGCCCGGUGCCGGAAGGUUAAUUGAUGGGGUUAUCCGUAAGGAGAAGCUCUUGAUCGAAGCCCCGGUAAACGGCGGCCGUAACUAUAACGGUCCUAAGGUAGCGAAAUUCCUUGUCGGGUAAGUUCCGACCUGCACGAAUGGCGUAAUGAUGGCCAGGCUGUCUCCACCCGAGACUCAGUGAAAUUGAACUCGCUGUGAAGAUGCAGUGUACCCGCGGCAAGACGGAAAGACCCCGUGAACCUUUACUAUAGCUUGACACUGAACAUUGAGCCUUGAUGUGUAGGAUAGGUGGGAGGCUUUGAAGCGUGGACGCCAGUCUGCGUGGAGCCAACCUUGAAAUACCACCCUUUAAUGUUUGAUGUUCUAACGUUGGCCCCUGACCGGGGUUGCGGACAGUGUCUGGUGGGUAGUUUGACUGGGGCGGUCUCCUCCCAAAGCGUAACGGAGGAGCACGAAGGUUAGCUAAUCCUGGUCGGACAUCAGGAGGUUAGUGCAAUGGCAUAAGCUAGCUUGACUGCGAGCGUGACGGCGCGAGCAGGUGCGAAAGCAGGUCAUAGUGAUCCGGUGGUUCUGAAUGGAAGGGCCAUCGCUCAACGGAUAAAAGGUACUCCGGGGAUAACAGGCUGAUACCGCCCAAGAGUUCAUAUCGACGGCGGUGUUUGGCACCUCGAUGUCGGCUCAUCACAUCCUGGGGCUGAAGUAGGUCCCAAGGGUAUGGCUGUUCGCCAUUUAAAGUGGUACGCGAGCUGGGUUUAGAACGUCGUGAGACAGUUCGGUCCCUAUCUGCCGUGGGCGCUGGAGAAUUGAGGGGGGCUGCUCCUAGUACGAGAGGACCGGAGUGGACGCAUCACUGGUGUUCGGGUUGUCAUGCCAAUGGCACUGCCCGGUAGCUAAAUGCGGAAGAGAUAAGUGCUGAAAGCAUCUAAGCACGAAACUUGCCCCGAGAUGAGUUCUCCCUGAGACUUUAAGUCUCCUGAAGGAACGUUGAAGACGACGACGUUGAUAGGCCGGGUGUGUAAGCGCAGCGAUGCGUUGAGCUAACCGGUACUAAUGAACCGUGAGGCUUAACCUU